GACGAACGCUGGCGGCGUGCUUAACACAUGCAAGUCGAGCGAGCGGCGAACGGGUGAGUAAUGUCUGGGAAACUGCCCGAUGGAGGGGGAUAACUACUGGAAACGGUAGCUAAUACCGCAUACCAUCGGAUGUGCCAAGAUGGGAUUAGCUAGUAGGGUGGGUAGCGGCUCACCUAGGGGACGAUACCUAGCUGGUCUGAGAGGAUGACCAGCCACACUGGACCUGAGCCCCGGUCCAGACUCCUACGGGAGGCAGCAGUGGGGAAUAUUGCACAAUGGGCGAAAGCCUGAUGCAGCCAUGCCGCGUGUAUUAAGAAGGCCUUCGGGUGUUAAAGUACUUUCAGCGAGGAGGCGUUACUCGCAGAAGAAGCACCGGCUAACUCCGUGCCAGCAGCCGCGGUAAUAC
rnacentral:rRNA from 1 species